CAAGAGACAGACUCCGAGAGGCUAGGCUGCACAGCCCCUUUUGAGGAUAUCCCCUCUGAUGAAAAGAACCCAGAGGACCACUGGGGAAUGGCAACCCAGAAGCAGGAGGAGACCAGAGAGGUGUGCCUGAGUAUAACUGGAAUCAUCAUCACCAUCUUCAACUCUGCAGCUGCCACAAGGCACCUAACCUGCUAGAGAGAUGGUCUGCCCUUUCUCUUUCAAGUACUGCACAGCCUAGCUGCUCCCUGUCACAGACUCUGUAAUAAGGCUCUAGAGUCUUCCCAUCUUUAUCCAUGCUCUAUGGAAUUUGAAUUGG